GAAAAAAAACACACUCAGUUCUUGGAGAAAGUGCUAUUUUAUUAUGGGUGCAAAAAAACAAAACACAAAACAAAACAAAAACAAACAAACAAAGGCAGAGGCACAAUGAGAAUGCUGGAGACUACACUGGAGGACUCAUCCUGACCCCUCAGGUGAGAGCCGUGCAAACUUGGGGAAAGUCCAGCGCAGUGAGAUGAGUCAAGACGUGAAGGCAGUCUUUGAGUGUGCGCCUCUGACCUGUUACGGCUUUGAAUGGCAAAGUGGAACCAGAGAUCGGACUGCAUGGAGACCAGGAGAGGACGAGGGCUGAAGGCAGGGUAAGAACAAGGCUUUGGAGCUCUACGCAUAGACCGAACUUUGCUGCUGGGAGGGGCCAGGGGCUGAUGGGCGUGGUCUCAGCACAACGUUGAGAAGUCAUCAUGGCAGAGGGGGCUCCCAACUUGACUCUGUGGCUGACAUGCUGGUUUGCGUCCAGAAUCUCCCUUCUCCCAGAAAUCAAAUGCCCACUCCCUUAAGGCCUAUAUUUUAUUUGAGUGGGGUCCGGGUCCAGAAGAGGGCAUGAGCUCACACUACGCCCACAGUCAGGGCCCUUUCCUGGGAUUUCUUAAGCAGCAUCUGGGGAUAGCCUAUGUGAUGGCUCAUUUUCAUUGUCAACUGGGCUGGAUUUAGACUCAUCAUGGAAUCCCACCCCUGGGUCUGUCUGUGGGAACGUCUCCAGAAGGUUUAACAAAAGCAAGGAAGACCUGCCCUGAAUAUGGGCAUCGUCAUCCCAUGGGCUGGACCUCCUGACUGACUGGAGCACUGAGAAUUAGUGUUUAUCUUUCCCUCCUUCCUGACUGCAGAUACAAGGUGACCACCACCUCAAGCUUCGGCUUUGGGCUUUCUCCCUCUCAAAUUGAGAGCCAAAACAAGCCACUCCCUUUUAACUGCCCAAAUGAUUAAAAUAGCAUUUCCCUCUUAAUUGGUAAAACCUGAGGUUUAUGAGUCCAGGAGCAGCUAUGGAGAAAGCCCCUUGCAUCCAAGAUGGAAGACAUUCAAGGAGACACAGAGAAUAUCUUAACCAUGUUUGAGUGGCUGGACCCUCCUCUGACCUGAGAUUUGGUCACUCCAAUCAAUAGAGCUCCUUAUAGCCUAAAUGAAAUUGAAUUGGGUUUCUGUCACCAACAACCAAAAGAUUCUGAUCUCAGAAUCUCAGGCUAAAGGGUAGAAAUGCCAGGAGCAUGCCCAAGAUGGCCUGCUGCGAAGACAGUCAUGUCUGGAGACAGAAGAGCCUCCGAGAGCUCAAUUCUCCUGAGUCUGAUGUCCACGGUCUAGUGACCAGAGCUGGCGGCAGCUGGCACAUGCUCCUGCUGUAAUGACAGAACUGCCCUGGCUGCCUGAGGAGGCGGCUGUUUAUUUACUUCAUAAGCAGGAAUGGAUGCCUGAAGCACACCGUGGUGGCGUGCAAGCUCCCUCACUCUUCUACUUCCCGUUGUAUUUCACCCUGGCAAGAGGGAUUCUUCUUGGCUAGGAAAUUGAUUUUAAAUCACUCUUCACUGCC
rnacentral:lncRNA from 1 species